rnacentral:rRNA from 1 species
UAGGGAAUAUUGGUAAUGUGCGAAAGCGCGAACCAGCAACGCCGCGUGCACGAUGAAGGCCUUCGGGUCGUAAAGUGCUUUUAGAGAGGAUGAGGAAGGACAGUACUUUCUGAAUAAGCCUCGGCUAACUACGUGCCAGCAGCCGCGGUAAAACGUAGGAGGCUAGCGUUAUCCGGAUUUACUGGGCGUAAAGCGCAUGCAGGUGGUUUUGUAAGUUGGAUGUGAAAGCUCCUGGCUUAACUGGGAGAGGUCGUUCAAAACUACAAGACUUGAGAUUGGUAGAGGAAAAUGGAAUUCCGGGUGUAGUGGUGAAAUGCGUAGAUAUCCGGAGGAACACCCGUGGCGAAAGCGGUUUUCUGGACCAAUUCUGACACUCAGAUGCGAAAGCUAAGGUAGCAAACG